AUUGAACGCUGGCGGCAUGCCUUACACAUGCAAGUCGAACGGCAGCGGACCUUCGGGUGCCGGCGAGUGGCGAACGGGUGAGUAAUGCAUCGGAACGUACCUUUCAGUGGGGGAUAACGUAGCGAAAGUUACGCUAAUACCGCAUAUUCUGUGAGCAGGAAAGCAAGGGAUCGCAAGACCUUGCGCUGAUCGAGCGGCCGAUGUCAGAUUGGCUAGUUGGUGAGGUAAAGGCUCACCAAGGCGAUGAGCUGUAGCGGGUCUGAGAGGAUGAUCCGCCACACUGGAACUGAGACACGGUCCAGACUCCUACGGGAGGCAGCAGUGGGGAAUUUUGGACAAUGGGGGCAACCCUGAUCCAGCCAUGCCGCGUGAGUGAAGAAGGCCUUCGGGUUGUAAAGCUCUUUCGGCCGGGAAGAAAUCGCACGGGCUAAUACCCUGUGUGGAUGACGGUACCGGAAUAAGAAGCACCGGCUAACUACGUGCCAGCCGCCGCUGUAAUAC
rnacentral:rRNA from 1 species